rnacentral:miRNA from 1 species
CUGGUCUGCUCCGUGUCCAAAGU